AUAGAAAUCUUUCUCUCUCAGUAUAUAAAUUAAUAUAAAUAAAAUAAGAUUAAUUUAAUUUAAUUUAAUAAGACCGAACAUGGUUUUAUUAAGUUUUGGAGCAAUAAAAAUAACUACAAAAGAUUUUCGAUAAGAAGAACAAAUUUCUUCGACAAACUUUCACAGACAAAAACUAUUUUUAGAAGGACAAUUAUGGAGAUAAUUUGCAAAUUUCGUCGCAGACGCGCAAUAAAGGAUCAAGAUAAGCGGAGGACAAGGGCGAACAAGUUCAUAAUGCUUCAACGAUAGCACGUGGCUGCAAAAGUUGAGCUGCAAUUCCUGGCGCGGCACGAUCGGACGAUACCUCCGUUGACAAGCAGGGGUCGAUCAUCUGUUUUUAUUUAGAUUACCGAUAAUGAUAUCAUCGAGGAUGACGAUGCGGGAAUCGCUAUAGGCUCAACAUAAACCUGCCUUGUGGUAUAGGACAGCUUAAGCGUAUUGCGAAACUCGUCUGGACGUUUAUCAUAAACACUAUUGGUGUUCCGUGGACAUGUAGGGCGUCGCGAUAUCAUAUCUUUUUUCUCGGUCAUAUAUUAAAAAAUUUCAUUAAAUUAAAUUCGAUUAAAUACAGGAAACUCAUUCUUUGCUCGACAUUUUUCGAAAUUUUAUUUAUUUAAAUAUAUUUUAUUUUUCAAGUAUCAUCUGACGUUUAGUAUUCGUAAUUUAAAAACUACGAAUGGAAUAUCCGUUUUAUAAAAUUUCCAAGAUUACAUUUUUAAAAAUAACGAGAAAAUUCAGAGAAAUAUAAAUUAUUACAUUCAAUGCAAAUUAGAAGAAACAUUCGCUAGAAAGAGACAUGAUACGUAUUUCGAUAAGAAAGAAUCGGGGGUGACGGCUUACACGGUACGGUACGAAACACUGGGCGACUGACUCGGAUUACAUAAAACUUGAUGCACGCGCCGGAAGAAGAGGGGACACCUUUGGUAUUAAUAACGGAAACACACGCAGAUCCUCCACGCUGUAUCAUUUCACCGCUGGUGCACGACCGAGCGCAUAAUUUUCGAAUUAAGUUAAGCGGUCCUGGGGUAGGUGAUCACGGUAAAUGAACACCCGUCCAUAAUGGUCGUAAUUGGUGAGAUGUUCUUUCUUUUCCAUCUUUUUUUUCUUUACAGAACCAGGUGCGUGACAAGCAAACGGCGCGCCUUGGUCGCUAACGCGUCAACUGCUUGCAAGAGAGGCCAUCGUUGGUCUUUUUCGCCCCCACUUUUUCCUACCUGAAUAUUAAUUAUUCUCUUCAAGUUGCACCUGCCUCACUUGCCCCCGGGCUGAACACACGUGUGCCUGCUUCUUUGUAUCUAUCACUUUAGCUCGUGAUUCUUACCGCAGAUUAAUCUGGCAGUUAGGUAACAAUGCAGUAACUAUCAAGCUCAAAGGAAUGGGAAUCAUCUUCGUAUAUUAACUGAUUGAUUGUAGACAGGUGUAUGAUAAUGAACGUAAAAUAUACGGAAGGAAAGAUUGAAAGAU